rnacentral:rRNA from 1 species
GCAUGCGAGUCGAGAGGGUUCGGCCCUCGGCAGACGGCUCAGUAACACGUGGAUAAUCUGCCCUUAGGUGGAGGAUAACCUCGGGAAACUGAGAAUAAUACUCCAUAGAUCUAGGAUGCUGGAAUGCACUUAGAUCAAAAGCUCCGGCGCCUAAGGAUGAGUCUGCGGACUAUCAGGUUGUAGUCAGGGUAAAGACCUGACUAGCCUACGACGGAUACGGGUUGUGAGAGCAAUAACCCGGAGAUGAUAUCUGAGACACGAUAUCAGGCCCUACGGGGCGCAGCAGGCGCGAAAACUUCACACUGCGCGAAAGCGCGAUGAGGGAAUCCCAAGUGCUUGCACGUAAGUGUAAGCUGUUUCUUUGUUUAAAACGCAUUGAGAGUAAGAGCUGGGUAAGACGGGUGCCAGCCGCCGCGGUAAUACCUGCAGCUCAAGUGGUGGUCGCUAUUAUUGGGCCUAAAACGUCCGUAGCCGGUUUAGUAAAUGCUUGGGUAAAUUGUGUAGCUUAACUAUACGAAUACCGAGUAGACUGCUAAACUUGGGACCGGGAGAGGCUAGAGGUACUCCUAGGGUAGAGGUGAAAUUCUGUAAUCCUAGGGGGACCACCAGUGGCGAAGGCGUCUAGCUAGAACGGGUCCGACGGUGAGGGACGAAGCCUAGGGGAACAAACCGGAUUAGAUACCCGGGUAGUCCUAGGUGUAAACGCUGCAGGCUUGGUGUUGGGGGUCUUGCGAGGGCGCCCAGUGCCGGAGAGAAGUUGUUAAGCCUGCCGCUUGGGGAGUACGAUCGCAAGAUUGAAACUUAA